rnacentral:rRNA from 1 species
GACGAACGCUGGCGGCGUGCUUAACACAUGCAAGUCGAACGGAAAGGCCCUGCUUUUGUGGGGUGCUCGAGUCGCGAACGGGUGAGUAACACGUGAGUAACCUGCCCUUGCCUUUGGGAUAACUUCAGGAAACUGGGGCUAAUCCCGGAUAGGAGCUCCUGCUGCAUGGUGGGGGUUGGAAAGUUUCGGCGGUUGGGGAUGGACUCGCGGCUUAUCAGCUUGUUGGUGGGGUAGUGGCUUACCAAGGCUUUGACGGGUAGCCGGCCUGAGAGGGUGACCGGCCACAUUGGGACUGAGAUGCGGCCCAGACGCCUACGGGAGGCAGCAGUGGGGAAUAUUGCACAAUGGGCGGAAGCCUGAUGCAGCAACGCCGCGUGCGGGAUGACGGCCUUCGGGUUGUAAACCGCUUUCGCCUGUGACGAAGCGUGAGUGACGGUAAUGGGUAAAGAAGCACCGGCUAACUACGUG